rnacentral:rRNA from 1 species
AACAGGAUUAGAUACCCUGGUAGUCCACGCCGUAAACGAUGUCGACUUGGAGGUUGUGCCCUUGAGGCGUGGCUUCCGGAGCUAACGCGUUAAGUCGACCGCCUGGGGAGUACGGCCGCAAGGUUAAAACUCAAAUGAAUUGACGGGGGCCCGCACAAGCGGUGGAGCAUGUGGUUUAAUUCGAUGCAACGCGAAGAACCUUACCUACUCUUGACAUCCAGAGAACUUAGCAGAGAUGCUUUGGUGCCUUCGGGAACUCUGAGACAGGUGCUGCAUGGCUGUCGUCAGCUCGUGUUGUGAAGUGUUGGGUUAAGUCCCGCAACGAGCGCAACCCUUAUCCUUUGUUGCCAGCGGUUAGGCCGGGAACUCAAAGGAGACUGCCAGUGAUAAACUGGAGGAAGGUGGGGAUGACGUCAAGUCAUCAUGGCCCUUACGAGUAGGGCUACACACGUGCUACAAUGGCGCAUACAAAGAGAAGCGACCUCGCGAGAGCAAGCGGACCUCAUAAAGUGCGUCGUAGUCCGGAUUGGAGUCUGCAACUCGACUCCAUGAAGUCGGAAUCGCUAGUAAUCGUGGAUCAGAAUGCCACGGUGAAUACGUUCCCGGGCCUUGUACACACCGCCCGUCACACCAUGGGAGUGGGUUGCAAAAGAAGUAGGUAGCUUAACCUUCGGGAGGGCGCUUACCACUUUGUGAUUCAUGACUGGGGUGAAGUCGUAACAAGGUAACC